ACGAAGGGGGCGGGCGGGGCUGAGGCGGUGCCGCAGUGACAGGGCAGCGGGGUGUGUCUCUUAGGUCUGAUCACUUGCGGGAGGGAACACCCUCUGCAUCAGGCUGUGGGAAGGGGCACACCCCAUCCAUGUGCAGAUAAAUUCCUGUAACUCUUCAGAAACCAUCAAUGUAAAGGCGGAAUGAAAUCCCAGAUGGGCUUGUUUCAAGCUGCCUCUCCAGUCUGAAGAGUCCUUUUUCAGCUGCGUGUGGCCUGAAAGAGAGGGCAGCAAGAACCACUUUCCUCUUGGCGUGGUGGCCAAAAUCUACAAGGUGCUGCAAGUGCAUCUGUCAGACACAGACACAGACACAGACACAGAUUUCUAGGUUGGAAGAGACCUCAAGAUCAUCGAGUCCAACCUCCGACCUAACACUAAGUACUCCACUAAACCAUAUCGCUAAGCUCUA